ensembl:misc_RNA Y_RNA Y RNA
GGCUAGUCUGCAGGCUGUGAAUUAUCUCCAUUGAAUGUUCAUAGUAAGUUACAGGCAGAACUUCUUGUUCUUCUCUUUCCCUCUUCUCACUAGUACACUAGACUAGUCUUAU